GAGUUUGAUCCUGGCUCAGGAUGAACGCUAGCGGCAGGCUUAACACAUGCAAGUCGAGGGGCAGCAGGGAGCUUGCUCCGCUGACGACCGGCGAACGGGUGCGUAACGCGUAUAGAAUCUACCUCUUACUAAGGGAUAGCCCAGAGAAAUUUGGAUUAAUAUCUUAUAGUAUACAGACCUGGCAUCAGGAUUGUAUUAAAGGUUACGGUAAGAGAUGACUAUGCGUCCUAUUAGCUAGAUGGUGUGGUAACGGCACACCAUGGCUACGAUAGGUAGGGGCCCUGAGAGGGGGAUCCCCCACACUGGUACUGAGACACGGACCAGACUCCUACGGGAGGCAGCAGUGAGGAAUAUUGGACAAUGGAGGCAACUCUGAUCCAGCCAUGCCGCGUGCAGGAAGACUGCCCUAUGGGUUGUAAACUGCUUUUAUACAGGAAGAAACACUCUCACGUGUGAGAGCUUGACGGUACUGUAAGAAUAAGGAUCGGCUAACUCCGUGCCAGCAGCCGCGGUAAUACGGAGGAUCCAAGCGUUAUCCGGAAUCAUUGGGUUUAAAGGGUCCGUAGGUGGAUGAUUAAGUCAGAGGUGAAAUCCUGCAGCUCAACUGUAGAAUUGCCUUUGAUACUGGUUGUCUUGAGUUAUUAUGAAGUAGUUAGAAUAUGUAGUGUAGCGGUGAAAUGCAUAGAUAUUACAUAGAAUACCAAUUGCGAAGGCAGAUUACUAAUAAUAUACUGACACUGAUGGACGAAAGCGUGGGGAGCGAACAGGAUUAGAUACCCUGGUAGUCCACGCCGUAAACGAUGGUCACUAGCUGUUCGGACUUCGGUUUGAGUGGCUAAGCGAAAGUGAUAAGUGACCCACCUGGGGGAGUACGUUCGCAAGAAUGAAACUCAAAGGAAUUGACGGGGGCCUGCACAAGCGGUGGAGCAUGGUGGUUUAAUUCGAUGAUACGCGAGGAACUUACCAGGCUUAAAUGUAGAUUGACAGUUUAGAAAAUAGACUUUCUUCGGAACAUUUACAAGUGCUGCAUAGGUGUCGUCAGCUCGUGCGUGGAGGUCAGUAAGUCCUUACCGAGCGCAACCCUGUUGUAGUGGCAGCCAGUCAUGUCGGUAACCUUACAGACUGCAUGCAAACGUCAGAGGUGGUAAUAACGUCCAAUACACUACCGUGC
rnacentral:rRNA from 1 species